rnacentral:rRNA from 1 species
AGAGUUUGAUCCUGGCUCAGGACGAACGCUGGCGGCGUGCCUAAUACAUGCAAGUAGAACGCUGAAGCUUGGUGCUUGCACCGAGCGGAUGAGUUGCGAACGGGUGAGUAACGCGUAGGUAACCUGCCUGGUAGCGGGGGAUAACUAUUGGAAACGAUAGCUAAUACCGCAUAAGAGUAGAUGUUGCAUGACAUUUGCUUAAAAGGUGCAAUUGCAUCACUACCAGAUGGACCUGCGUUGUAUUAGCUAGUUGGUGAGGUAACGGCUCACCAAGGCAACGAUACAUAGCCGACCUGAGAGGGUGAUCGGCCACACUGGGACUGAGACACGGCCCAGACUCCUACGGGAGGCAGCAGUAGGGAAUCUUCGGCAAUGGACGGAAGUCUGACCGAGCAACGCCGCGUGAGUGAAGAAGGUUUUCGGAUCGUAAAGCUCUGUUGUAAGAGAAGAACGAGUGUGAGAGUGGAAAGUUCACACUGUGACGGUAUCUUACCAGAAAGGGACGGCUAACUACGUGCCAGCAGCCGCGGUAAUACGUAGGUCCCGAGCGUUGUCCGGAUUUAUUGGGCGUAAAGCGAGCGCAGGCGGUUAGAUAAGUCUGAAGUUAAAGGCUGUGGCUUAACCAUAGUACGCUUUGGAAACUGUUUAACUUGAGUGCAAGAGGGGAGAGUGGAAUUCCAUGUGUAGCGGUGAAAUGCGUAGAGAUAUGGAGGAACACCAGUGGCGAAGGCGACUUUCUGGUCUGUAACUGACGCUGAUGUGCGAAAGCGUGGGGAUCAAACAGGAUUAGAUACCCUGGUAGUCCAC